rnacentral:rRNA from 1 species
UACGUAGGGUGCGAGCGUUGUCCGGAAUUAUUGGGCGUAAAGAGCUUGUAGGCGGUUUGUCGCGUCUGCCGUGAAAAUCCGGGGCUCAACCCCGGACUUGCGGUGGGUACGGGCAGACUAGAGUGUGGUAGGGGAGACUGGAAUUCCUGGUGUAGCGGUGAAAUGCGCAGAUAUCAGGAGGAACACCGGUGGCGAAGGCGGGUCUCUGGGCCGAUACUGACGCUGAGGAGCGAAAGCGUGGGAGCGAACAGG